UUCAAGUUCUGCGUUUGAAUAAGUAAAUUAGUGUACGUGCUGCGUGAAUAUUGAGUAUGAAGAUUAAGUUUUUACAUGGUAAUUUUUACAUGGCAUAAGAAAAUAGGCGAAGGGAAUCAUUGCAAUUUCUUUCAAGGAUAACCCGUGGCGAGGAUUAUCUCGUUUCAUGUCGACUUACAUCCGAGAUCUGCGGCAGCAGGAUGUUAUCGCGUGGCCCGAUGAUGUUGCUGGGAAAUUUGCUAAAGAUUAUCGGACUCUCCGGAGUCGGUACACCCUGCUCUUUACAAUGACCGCUAUAGUUGAGACCGAUGCAGGCGAGUUUGUCCAUUCGUGUAACUGGCGCCAAGAAGUUCACGUCAUUCUCGGGUGUGAUGCUCCGUCCCUCGGCGACUAUUCUGUAACCAUCGUCAGUCGAGUCAAGAAUAGACCUUGAAAUCGUUUCAUGAAAGUUAAUCAACUCGCACGCGAGGUGAACUCUAGCUAAUUAAGUAUAUUUUUCUUUUUUCUUUUUUGCGCGAUAAAAGUAUAGAUCCUUACGAUAGAAUUUUACGAUGUUAGAAAAAACAAAUACGAUCGUAUGCAGAAAUACGGUAGAAGAUACAAAGGAAAACAUUUUUUUAAUAUAUUUGCAGGCACACAAAUUUGCUUGCAUUUUCUUUUUUGUAAGUUUGUUAUUGCCCAAUAAUAGGCAACAUGCGGUUUUAUGUGCGCUUAACAAACGAAUUUUUAGAGAAAAAGUGAAGACUCACAAUAGUAAGCCGUAUAACAACACCAGUUUAAAGCUUUUGCAGUUAAUUUUUUUCGUCAUUAAUUUUGUAUUGUUGAUCGAUAAAGCACGAGCUUGCGGUUUGCGUAUUUGUCGUAGCUUAUCAUUUCCGAUAAAUUGUGUUAUUCUGGUCAAUCCCAACAUGCGCGUGAUAGAUUUUUUUACAAAUGUGUUUCUUGCCGAUUAAUCUGCUCAUGGUCAAAAUUACAUAACAGAAACGUUGCGUGUGGUUUUAAGUUUUCGUAAAAUAUGACGUGUUGUGACGUGUUGUAUGAGUAAUAUUUCUCAUUUAACUGAAGUAUUUACAUAGUUAAUAUAUCAUGUACAGAUUC